UACAUGGGGUGCAAACGUUGCUCGGAAUCAUUGGGCGUAAAGCGCGCGUAGGCGGUUACUCAAGUUGGAUGUGAAAGCCCUCGGCUUAACUGAGGAAGUGCAUCCAAAACUGAGUAGCUAGAGUACUAAAGAGGGUCGCGGAAUUCCCGGUGUAGAGGUGAAAUUCGUAGAUAUCUGGAGGAACACCGGUGGCGAAGGCGGCAUCCUGGACCAACACUGACACUGAGGAGCGAAAGCCAGGGGAGCAAACGGG
rnacentral:rRNA from 1 species